UACGUAGGGUGCGGGCGUUGUCCGGAAUUACUGGGCGUAAAGAGCUCGUAGGUGGUUUGUCGCGUUGUUCGUGAAAACUCACAGCUUAACUGUGGGCGUGCGGGCGAUACGGGCAGACUGGAGUACUGCAGGGGAGACUGGAAUUCCUGGUGUAGCGGUGGAAUGCGCAGAUAUCAGGAGGAACACCGGUGGCGAAGGCGGGUCUCUGGGCAGUAACUGACGCUGAUCUGCGAAAGCUAGGGGAGCAAACAGG
rnacentral:rRNA from 1 species